rnacentral:rRNA from 1 species
GCCAUGGCCCAGGUGAGACGCCCGGUCCCAUUCCGAACCCGGAAGCUAAGGCCUGGCACGGCGAUGGUACUGCACCCGACAGGGUGUGGGAGAGUAGCACGCCGCCGCAC